CUCACAAAGAUAUUCCAAUUGCCUUUUAAUAGGGGAGGCAAGUACAGGGUAAGUUUGUAGAGCUGGGCCUCUCUAACUAUGCCUCCUGGGAAGUAGCUGAAAUCUGCACCCUCUGCAAGAAAAAUGGCUGGGUUGUCCCCACUGUGUACCAGGUGGUCUUCUCACUGGCAAAUACAAGUACGAAGACAAAGAACAGCCUCUGACCCGAUUCUUUGGAUGACCUUUUUCUGCAGUGUACCAUAAACCCUACUGGAAGGUACUUCACUUUCAAGCCAUUGCUCUUAUGGAGAAAGCCCCGGCAGCAUCUUAUGAGGCCAACCCUCCCAGCAUGACCUCAGCAGCCCUCCGAUGGAUGUACCAUCACUCCCAGCUCCAGGUGAAGGAGCUAAAUCUAGAGGCUCUGACUUUGUGGGCAUGGAAAAAUCAGGAGACCAAGGCUCCAGGAAUAUGGAGGCAAGGCGUUGGAGUCCAUGCCAGGUUUUACAGCCAGUCUACUGCUGAUGUCCUGAGAGUCAAGGAAAGGCCUUCAGGUUCCAAUGGUGCCUGAAAUAAAAAAAAUCAUCCUUCAGUCAAGCCUUGUCUGGAUGGAAACUUGAUGUGACCAGUGCGAUGUAGAGAUUCUUCAUGAUACAGAAACUAUAACAACACUAUAGAAAUUGUAUCAUAUCACAAACAAAUUAGAGAAGCAAAGAAGGAGAUUCUUUUCAUACCACCAUGGAUAGGGGAAGAGUUCUUGACCAAACAGUGGAUAGAGAGACUCAUGGGACAUCAAAAGGACAAGUGUAAUCACAUCAAAUUGAAAAUGUUUUCAUAAAUAAAUUAAUUAAAUUAAAAAGAAAAAAAGAAAAGGUUUUACAUAAAAAACCCAAUGAUACCAAAAUUAGAAGGAAAAGAGAAACUGAGAGAAAAUUAUGGCAAGUUUCGCUGAUAGAAAUCUCAUUUCUCAAAUGUAUAGAGACCUGAGCCAACCUGAGAAGAUGAUGGGCCAUUCUCCUAUUGGUAAAUGGACAAAAGGUAUGAAUAGGCAGUUUUCAGAAGGAGAAAUCAAAGUUAACAAUAAACAUAUUAAAACUAAAUUCUCUAAACCAUUAAAAAUGAGAGAAAUGCAAAUU